UGAUUGGUACUGUAAUACGAGUAUUACAUGGUAAUUCACAUUGAGGAUAUGACUGAUACAUACAUACAUACAUGCAUCCAUACAUACACAGACUGAUAGACCAAAAGAUUACACAUGAAUGAAACUUUGGAAAAACAAAUAUUCCCAAAGAGAUUACAAGGAUUAAAGAAUAACAAAUCAAAAAUUUUCACCAAAAUAUAACAUUUUACACAGAAGUCAUCACUGACUUGGGGAGGAAGGACUUAGUAAUUUUAAACCUUUUUAAUCCAUUCAUGGUUGAUUGAUUGUUCUUCCUAAGGCUUUGGUGGUUCUGCAGCAGCAGAUUCCUCCACCUUUGGAGGAGGAGCCUCAGCAGCAGCUUCUGGCUCAGUAGGUUUAGGUUUUUUAACCUCCUCUUUCUUCUCCUCCACCACCACCUCUUCUUUUUUCUCUUCUUCGAUCACUAUCUCCUUUUCUUUUACAACACCACUUGUUUCCUCCUCAGUUUUUGUUGCUUCUGCUGGCGGUGGCAGCGGCUCUACCGUUUCCUCAGUCACAAUGAAUGUUGAGACCUUCUCGAACACAAAGAAAACUGGACCUGAAAC
rnacentral:lncRNA from 1 species